GUAGGAAAACAGAUGGGUAGACAAGGGUAAAUAGUUUUGUUUUUGUGGGUAACUGUGUCAAAACCCCCCCAAAAAAAUCAUCAUCCAAACAGACCCUUAAUAUAUUGCUCUUCCUCCUCUCUGUGUUGCUGCUACUGAAUACUGAUGUAUAUAAAAGGGCUGUGAUGAUUGCUUCUCCUUUCUGGGCUAUGUCCAAUUCAUGGCAUUGAAAAAAUAUCCGACCCGUAUCUUGGCAGGGCGACCCGGUACGGCUUUUGUAUAGCAAACUGGUGUCUGCAGCUAUGGCAGCGUCGCCUUCUCAUUUGCUUUGACAAAAAAUACAGCAAAUCUGAGCCCUCACGAAAAGGCCCGUGUAAAAGCCUGUUUGGCCGUGCUUCUAAAAUCAGCUUAUUUUGUAAUAGCAUGUUUUGCCGUGCUUCCAAAAUCAGCUUAUCAGCUCUAAGAAACUACCCCUUAUUUUCUGAGACCUCACAAGUAUGCAAUUAUGAGAAGGGAAAAGGUUAGCCCAGAAGAACUAAAGAAAUGAGGCAAAAACAGAGAGUUUGGGAUUUUCUUGAAAGAGUGGUUGCCCCUCUCUGUUUCACCAUUGAUUUUCCUCCAUUAUUUAAAAACUAAAAAAAAAAAAAAAAAAAAAAAAGACCCUUGUUCAUGUCUUUAUGACAAAAACUGAAGCAGCGGAAAUGAUUUAUGUUAUAUAUACUAACAUCUCUGUUUGGAAACAGCCUCCUUACCUGCACAAGGUAGGGUUAAGGCUGCUUACUCACUGUCCUCCCCAAACCCCACUCGUGGGAUUAUACUCGUUUGUUGUUGUUGCAUAUUGACAUCUCUGUCUUUCCUCUGUGUUCGUUUAUAGUGUUGAUGGAAGGUACACAAAGUGGCAGUGAUGAUGCUGUUUCUAUAUCUCGGCUAACCGAUUUCGGUAUUGAGAUGUGCCGACCCGUAUCUUGGCGUUGCUACCCAGUAUGGCCUGUGUGGAGAGUUUUGAAUCUUCUCUCACACAUGCAACCGGUGUUUUGCAGCCAUGGCGUUGUUGGCUUCUCUUUUUUCUUAUCAUAACAUACAUCUGAGCCCCAUUUGCUCGAAAGUACAAAAACAGAAUCUUUUCCAUGAUUCGUAGUUGGGAUAUGUCAAACAUGUGAGCUUCUGCCACAACUAAUAUAUUGUAAACCCAGUAACUCAAAUGGGUUGUGGUAGAAAUUCGAACUCGAAUAAAGUUCAAAUCGGAUGCACAUGCAUUUAUCUGUCUGUCUAUGUUACACUAGCAGCCUGUUUGGAUGGUUGUUCUCAUUGUAUUUAUUGUUACCUUGAAAAGCUACACACUAAAAAAACGGGGAAGAAAUUAUAAUGCGGCGAUAAAGAAGACCUCAACGGCGCCUUUGCUUUAGGCAUUACUGGAUUCUUAGUAUGAUCUUAGUCCAAAACUUCCAUACUUCAUGAAAUGUAUGAAAGAGUCAACAUUUUCCAAGAGGCAGUUAUUGUGCUUGUUUAGUUGGGCUAUAAACCCUUGGGGCAUAGAGACAAUUCGACCCGUAUCUUGGCUUGGCAAACGCCAGAAUGGGCUGUGAUUUUGAGGCUCCUCUUUCACAUGGAAUCGGUUGUUUGCAGCCAUGGCGUGGCUGGCUUCUCUUUUGUCUUACCAAAACACACAUCUGAGACCCAUUUGCUUGAAAGAAAAAAAAACAGAAUCUUUUCCAUGAUUCAGUGUUGGGAUAUGUCGAACCGGCGACUUUUGCAAAUCAUCUUGCAGCCUAUUGUAUCACCAUCGUUUUUCAGUAUCAGUUGAGCAUAGCCUAGAAAUAUAGAAGAAUGAGGCAUCAGAGGGACUGGGAUUUUCUGUAAAGGGUGGUUGCCCCUCUCUGCUAUGCCCAUGAUUUCUCCAUUUAUAACCAAAAAAACAACAGCCCUUUCAAAUAAACAAGAAAAUAGAAAAAAAGAAAAUAGUUCAUCUUUCUGUUACCUUUUCAAAAAAAAAAAAAAAAAAAAAAAAAAAGUUCAUCCAAACACACCCUAGUAUAUUGCUCUUCCUCUUCUUUUUGUGUGCUGCUACUGAUGUUGUAAAGGGGCUAAGAAGGUUGCUUUUCUUUCUGGGCUAUGUUCAGUCAUGGCAUUGAGAAGAUACUUGACCCGUAUCAUGGCAUGGUGACCCAGUAUGUCCUUUGUAUAGCAAACUGGUGUCUGCAGCCAUGGCGUCGCCGCUGUCUCUUUUGCUUUGUUCAAAUAUUGUAAAUCUGAGCCCUCAAUGGCCAAACAUAGAGAAAGUAAGCUCAUAGAAUGAAGCAUCAAUGAGAAAUAUGAUUUAUUUAUUUAUCUAUGCAUUCGUUCAGUUUUGCUGGUAAGCCCAAGAUUUCUUGCUGGAAGCAAGUACCGGUGCGUAGUUCUUUCUGUAAAUCUAGUUUCGAGAGAUGCAUCAUGUUGUUGAUCUGAUGUUGCUGUUGCUGUUGCUGCUACCUUUUUUUUUGUUCUCGCUACUAUGUGGCUGUGUUAACACCCAAACAGCGGGAUCAUACUAAAAAUAAUGGUAAAAGUGAAAAUUUUGAGGCAGUGAUGAUAUGAUACUUGGCAAAUGGCAUUAUUGAUUUGCAUUGAGAUGGUAUUAAACUCGUAUCUUGGCAGGGCAAUCUGGAGGAGAUUGCAGCCAUGGCGGUUUUGAGAAACUCAAUACCUGAUCAUAGUGAGAUGUGAGCCUCAUUUAUAAAAUAGCAAAUAUCUCGUUAGUUUAAGUCUGAGGCUGCUGUGAAAUCAGAGGGCUGUGGGGAGUUUCAAUUGGUGGUUUUGCCCCUCUCUGUCAUUCUCUGAUGCCGAUGAUCACUCAAAUGAAAAAAGUUUCCGAUUCCAAAACCAGCCUUUUGGUGAAAAUACAAAUAACCUCUCUAUUUUCCUUUCUUGUUACUCCUGUUUCAUUUUAUGUGAUGCAACAAGGCUAUGAAGAUUUUGUUCUUCUGUGAAAGGUGAACCAAGACAUAUUUCUAUUGAGCUGGAAAAAAACUGUAACAUGGCAUGGCAGCUCAGAUGGGUCUGUGAGAUAUUGGAAAAUAUUCCAUUUUUUGGUGCUUCUUCUGUGUCUUAUAAGGCUAACUGAUGCUUGCAGCCAUGGCGGUUUUACCAAAGCUCUUUUGGCUCUGAGGAAAGGCGAAUCUGAGCCUACCCGAUUACUUGCAGUUUGGUUUUUGGUUUUUGCCCUUCCCCUUGGUUUUACACCAUUAAUCUGAGCUUACCCGAAAUCUUUCACUUAUGACUCACUCCUAAUUCCUAAAGAAAGAAAGAGAAAUAUAUAGAAUAAAUUUAUAUUUACUGCUUUCGGGAUAGUAUAAAAAGAACUGUUAUGGAGAUGCAAUAAAACAAAAGCUCAGGAGAACGAGAAUGAGGCUUCAGGGAGUUUAGGAUUUUUUGUUGAAAGGGUGGUUGCCUCUCUCUGUAUUAGCCCAUGAUUUCUCCAUUACUGUAACAAUCCCAACAACCCUGUAAAAAUUUCAUGGAAUGGCCAGUUUUCACCUUGCUAUAUAAGCUAUAUCUAGUUUUUUCAAAGUAUUUAAUUUGUAGCGAGUGUUGGUGAGUAUGAUUGAUUGCUUGAAAGAGGAGACGAUGAUCUUUUAUCCAUGGUCAGGUUCGAGCCGCGAACCUGUAGAAACAGACUCUUGCAAAGAUGCAGGGUAAGGCUGCGUACAAUAUACCCUUGUGGGCCGUCCCUUCCCCGGACCCCAAGCAUAGCGGGAGCUUAGUGCACCGGGUUAUGCGCGGGAGCUUAGUGCACCGCGUUGUCCUUUUUUUCUAUUCCCUUCUGAACUUAUUAAUUGGCAGAUGAUUCGACUCGUAUCUUGGCAGGGCAUGCCCCCAGAUAUCUGGUGGUUCUUUGCAACCAUGGCGUCGUCGGAUCUCCUUUUGCUUGAGUUAUAACAGAGAUCUGAGCCUCAAAACUGUAAUCGGAUCUAUCCAGUUGGACCGAAGCAGGGGUGAUUUUGCACAAAUAGGAUGUUUUGAGGCCACCAUUUAUAUUUUGUUGCUUGGUGUUGUCAGAAUACAAGCCAAAAGCUAAAAUCAUAGAACUUUGCAGGAAAGACGAUGCAUUUAUAAGAGGGUAAGCUCAUUUUUUAUAAUUUAUAGCAAAUUUUGCAUUCCGUGCUGAUUUGUUUUUCCUUUGAGGAGAUGAUAUUAGGCAAACUGGAAUUUGUACAAGAAUAAAGAAUGUGAAGAAAGGUUGAGAGGACUGUUGCAGUCCCAACAUGAAUUUCUGAAAACAAUACUAUUUGCUGUUUUUCACCAUUGGCCGGUGACAAGUUGGUAUAGGAGGAGGGUGAUAUUGAAGAUAUAAGCUAUGAGCUAUCAUGAGGCUCCAUAGACACAUACAAACAGUCAACUAUUCAAGUAGAGAUGAAGUUGGAUAGCUUCUCCUGCAAUUGAAUUUGUUUAUUCUGUGCAUGAGGAAUUCAUACUAAAUGAUGAGUAAUUCAAAUAAGCUAAGGAUUAACUUCCAAAUGAAGCUUUUUGUCAUAGUUUACUCUGAUAGAUUGAUGAGAUUCCUUUUUAGCUCUAUGUUAUCACGACUACUCGUCUAAAAAGAUUGUUUUCCUAGGUCUAGUUUCUGCUUUAGUUAGUUAGGUUCUUGAUACUGCUAUGCGUUAUCUUAGGGUUUCUUUUUUUGAUGAAUUAUCUCAUAGUUUGUUAUGUUGUAGAUAACAAGAGAUAAUAGUGUCAUUUGAAAUAAGUGGUGUAGUGAAAUCAAGGUUAGUUUUACCAUCUCAGCAAAAACAAUCCCCAAAGUUUUGACUACUUGUUUUGGAACCGUUUCUUCAAUUGCAAAGAUUCUAACCUUAAGUCUCGGGUUCGAGUAUUGGGAUUGGAAAUUUUUUUGUUAGGAAAUGCAUAUCCCAGCCUUAAUGCCGCACGAACGUGAAUUAGUUUUGGUUUCUGCUGUUCACUCUUCCACUUUGUAAAAUUUCUCUGUUAGUUCUGA